rnacentral:lncRNA from 1 species
UUUUUCUCUCUCUCUUUUCUCCCCUUUUUCCUCCUCACGUCACUUCUUGCCCCCCACUUUUUUCUUUUCCCCUCUCUCUCUCUCUCCUCUUUCCUCCUCUCUCAGCCGAACCCUCCCACCUCUUCUUCUUCUUCUUCUUCUUCUUCCUUCCUCUCGCCGGUUGCUGCUUCACCCACCACCACACCACCGCCCCACGCCCUACUCACCACCACCUCUUGGCCACCGAACCCCCACCACCCACUGCUCGUCCGACAAGCCGUCUCACCGUUUAGCCCGACGAGCUGUCUUGCCGUCCGCGCCGCCGUGAGGCACCGCCGCCGUCCCCAAGCCACCAUCACCACCUCUUGCUGCCGCUUGCUCGGUCGUCCGGGCCGUUGUUGCUCCGAACCGUCACCACCUCCGCCCGAACCCAAAACCUGUUAGGUUAAGCCCCAAAUUAAUUUACCCUAGUCUCAGUUGCCACUUUCACUU